GCCACCUGGGAGGACGGUGGCCGAGACGGGGGCACCGCUGCGUGGUGGGGCUGGAGAAAGCUUUCAGAUCCGGAACCCGCACCAGAAGGAGCAUGGGAUGGCCUACCUCAGGGGUAGAAUUAAAGGAUUAAAAACAAACGGGGAAGGAACAGAAAGAAGCGCAGAAAUUUUUGUUUUCUGCCACUGCAAGAAAUACUGCUGAACAAGACAUUUCUUCACCAGCCUUGAGGAGAGACAAACAUCAAUAAUGCAGAUGCGAAUGAAGCCAAGUAAUGCUGAAGAGAAAAGAAGAUCCAGAAGCUGUACUUCCAUUUAGAAGAAUAAAUUUAAAAUGGCAAGCUCAAUAAUUCCACUGUGGUGGAGAAUGAGUGUGUUGGUUUUAUAUGUACAUAAAACCUCUCAGAAAAUCACAGAAGAGAAAAUAAGAAAGAAGAAGGAAGAAAGCUGUCAUGAAUCCUGAAGUAUAGGCUUGGUUUUAGCUGGAUAGAGAAAGCAAAGAAGAAGCAGGAUGGAGAAGAAUGGAGAGAGUUUCUAGCGGAGCGGAGAACGCCACUCAACCAUGGCAACACUGAAUUUUUAAAGGAAGAUUUAGAGACUUCUUUGCAAAGCUCAAGCAACCAUUCUCCACUGCGCUGCUUUUCAUGCUUCUUGCUCUUCAAGAGACACCAUCUUAUGUUUCACAUCAGCUCUUUGUCCUGAGAUCACACUGUGCAGCCGGUGAUCCCUGAAGCAUUCCUUCUCCCCAUCCCAUCUCUACUCAAGGUUUUCUUGUCCACCCAGGAAAUGUGUGUGUGUGUUUGGGGGGGUGGGGUGGGGGUGGGGGGGUGUAGGUGUGUGUUUAAUCGUCUCCUCCAAAUUUUGAACAAAAUA